GGGCACAUGGUGUAGUUGGUUAUCACAUCCGCUUAGCAUGUUACUUCGCUGGGCAUCUGCGGGGGGUGCUGGGUUCAAUUCCCAGUGUGUCCA